rnacentral:rRNA from 1 species
GAUGAACGCUGGCGGCGUGCCUAAUACAUGCAAGUCGAGCGAACAGACGAGGAGCUUGCUCCUUCGACGUUAGCGGCGGACGGGUGAGUAACACGUAGGUAACCUACCUAUAAGACUGGGAUAACUUCGGGAAACCGGAGCUAAUACCGGAUAAUAUUUCGAUCCGCAUGGUUCGAUAGUGAAAGAUGGCUUUGCUAUCACUUAUAGAUGGACCUGCGCCGUAUUAGCUAGUUGGUAAGGUAACGGCUUACCAAGGCAACGAUACGUAGCCGACCUGAGAGGUGGAUCGGCCACACGGGAACUGAGACACGAUCCAGACUCCUAAGGGAGGCGGCAGUAGGGAGUCUUCCGCAAUGGGCGAAGGCCUGACGGAGCAACGCCGCGUGAGGGAUGAAGGUCUUCGGAUCGUAAAACUCUGUUAUUAGGGAAGAACAAACGUGUAAGUAACUGUGCACGUCUUGACGGUACCUAAUCAGAAAGCCACGGCUAACUACGUG